GUAUUUUUGUAUUAAACAUCAGCUGACGAGCACUGUUGCAAUCUGUAACAUCUUUAAAGUUUAUUUUCAGAUGCUGCAUCAAUGGGAAGAGAAAAUCAAACAGCGGUGACAGAAUUUAUCUUCGCUGGAUUUUCCAAUUUCCCAGACCUGCAGGUUCCAUUGUUUUUUGUGUUCUCUCUAAUCUACCUGGUAACUUUGAUCGCAAAUAUAAUCAUCAUCACUACGAUACGGAUUGAUCGCAGCCUCCACAUCCCCAUGUACUUCUUCCUCUCCAUCCUCUCCUUCUCAGAAAUCUGCUACUCACUUGUCAUUAUCCCCAAUAUGUUUGCAAAUUUUCUGAGAGAGAAGAAGACCAUUUCCUUCAUUGGCUGUGCCACUCAGAUGUGCAUUUUCCUGGGCUUUGCAUGUACAAAUUGUAUGCUUCUAGCAGUGAUGGGGUAUGACCGAUAUGUCUCCAUAUGCAAACCUUUACGUUAUCAGAUUUUGAUGAAUCAAAGUCUCUGCAUCAAACUGGUGGCUUGUUCAGCAACAACUGGAUUUCUUUUUUCCACCACAGAGACUAUAAUCAUAUUUACCUUGCCUUUCUGUGGGCCAAAUGAACUUAAGCACUUUUUGUGUGAUUUAUCACCUUUGCUUGAAUUAGCCUGUGGCCGAAACUACAUAGGAGAAAUUGUCAUUUUCAUUAUUUGUGUUUUGGUUGUAAUUUGUGCAUUCCUGUUCAUCCUUCUCUCAUACAUUUUAAUUGCAAACACUGUCUUGAAAAUCCCCACAACGGCUGGGAAGCGUAAAGCCUUUUCCACUUGUGCCUCCCAUCUUAUCGUGGUCGUAGUGCACUUUGGGUGUGCUGGCAUUAUCUAUUUAGGGCCCAAAUCCAGUUACACGCUAGAUCAGACUACUUUUAUUACUGUCUCUUACACAAUGGUGACUCCAUUGUUGAACCCUUUAGUGUACAGCCUGAGAAACAAAGAUGUCCAGAUAGCGCUUAAAAAAUCGCUUGGCAAAAGCUCCUGCACCCAAAGAAUGUGAAAAUUAAGCGUAAUCCAGUUUGAAGAGGAAUUAUGAAAGCCAACAAAUACUGUAUCUGUUGUUUAAUGUACAAAGGACGCCUCAAAUAGUAUUGUAGCUUUUUCUCAUCUUCUAAAAAAUUCAUUUGUAUAUGAAAUAUUCACUUGGAAAAAUGUGGCCUUGCUUUAGCAUUUACAGACAACUUUGAUUUUCUCACUGGAAAAUAAAUUGGGUUGUGGGAAUUUUCUCAUAAAUGAACCUGUAAUCAUUCAGCCCUGCAACAAAGGAAACUUUUCUAAAGAUUACUGUUGUUUUCUCCCAAAUCCUAGCCCACAUUUUCUCUGCCAAUCAUUUACGCAGAACUAUUUCAAGCUCAUAUAGUGCUGAGACUGAAGUGUCAAAAUUGUUCUUGUUGAAUAGCUGCCACCCGUAUAUUUUGGUUGGGUUCAGUUUGGGGUACAUUUCUGUUUAUCUUUGUGGAGGUAGCUUUUUCUGCCCCUCCUUGUCCCCAGUAAUGGCUAUUUUUAAGAAGGGAAUCUUUUUUCAAAGUUGGAAUUCUUGUAACCAAACACACUUAAUUUCUGCUCUUUUGCUUUCAUGUAGUAUGUUCUGACAUUUGCUUUUUAUAAAGUGUUGGCAAGAAUGUAAUAAUAUAUUGUACACAAAAUGGAGUAUUGCUAUUUUUCAAUAUGCAUUUAUUUUAGCAUUCAUAUAUAUUAAACCUGACACUUUAAUUACUUUCAAACCAUGCCCAAAGAAAGGCUAUAUCAUAUUAUAUUCCCAUUACAUAAUCAGAUAUGCAAUUGGAUCAUUAAUUUGCAGUGCUAUCAUGUCUGAGUGGACCCCUCACCCCCCGAUUUUCCUGCAUUGGACCACAUAAUGUUUCUGUCCUUCAGUUGGCAUUCUAGAAUAAUGUAGCUGCCAGGCUGAUUUUCCUUCUACCAUAAAACACACAAUAUAUCAAGAAAGGUCCAGCAUAAUUCAGUAGUGUGGAAGGGGUUGGGUGCAAUUCUACUGUAUGGUGUGGUUGGGAUAGAAUGGUCUGAAUGGUGUCUAUUCUUCAGCACCUUUUCCGCACAGUCUCAGCAGAGCAAGCAAGCUGUUACCUGGGGAGAAUGGGAGUAUUGAAAGAAGUUACUGAAUUAGCUAUAGUGCCUGUGUGUGUCUAUGUGUCAAGGAGGAAUUCUCCCGUAUGCGAAGACAGGCUCUGGUGCAUUGAGCUGAUGAGAUCAAUAGUGGGUUCAGCAGCCAAGAAGGCAGUUUCUGCCACAGAAGUCCCUUUAUAGCUGGAAGUGUGAGGGCCUGUUCCUUGCUCCCUAGGUCAGCUGGAAAGGCCUUUAAGGGAGCAGGCCCUGCAGUCCUCACCACAGCCAAUGGUGGCCCUUGGGCCCUGUCAGGAGUCCCAGUUUCCGACAUGAUAACGCAGCCAGUGUGGUUAAUUAAAAAGGAAGAUUUAUUGCAAUAACAGUGUUCUCCAGAUGGCUCUACAGUGCCCCCAUUCUCCACUAAUCAUGAUGACCCUUCUGACUCCUUCCUGUGAUGACGGAAGAUAUUGAACUUACUAACCCUAAUUCUCUUGUUUUUCUUCCUAACAACAGCCCCUUCACCUAUUAUCCACACUUAUUGGCUUAGCUCAGUCUCUUCCUUUUCUGAUGAACUACCCAUGUUUCUGUUCGCUCCUGUUUGAAACUCCUGACAGCUUUGGCUAGGUUCCUGCUCGCGUGCAACAUUAUCAGUUGUCAUUCCAAUGGGCGGAGGAGUUGACCCUGGUCAAGGCUCCUCUUGUCUGCCAUUUAACCCUCUCUCUUCGUAACUGCUUCCUUCACUGGGAGCUGGCUCAUUCAUGACAUGUCCCUUCCAACUCUAAGAUUCUAUGAUUCCAACAACAACAAUGGAAAAAAGAACCAUUCAUGCAAUGCUGCUAAAAACGUAGAUGCCCAAGCCAGGUGUUUACUAUAUAAUAUCAACUAUAUAAUACCAUAUAAUAUCAACUAAACAUAUGGAGAAGUGACAUAAGAGAUGUGUUCUCUUAUUUCCUCAAACUUUUUUAAUGCCCUCUCUGGCAUGUUAGAUGUUUAGAGAUUGCAAUGUGCCAUAACCUUCCAAACCAACAAUACCGGGAUGGGGAUUUGGAUUUCCAGUGACUAGCAAUGGAGAUUUUAGCUGCUGCUUAGAACAUAAAUACAAGAGGAUAGCGGUCAAUGGUUGGGUUGUAUUGCUUUCUAGAGAAAGUAAUGCCAAAUCUGGAUCCAUGUCAAGGGUUGACCCACAAUAAUAGGAAUUAAAUUGAACACCUGGGUCCGGAAGUCAUUGAGAAUGCAGAUACUGCCAUGAAAUUAUUUAGUACCCUCUGCAAAGGAAAAGGGGCUUAGCUUGGAUUGUGGAGCAUCAGUAAUAUAUAGUGUGUGAAAAUAGUCAGUUUACACUCAUUUCCUUGAACCCUGAUGUCUUCAGUACCCUUCAGUACCCGUGAGAUGUUAGGUUUCAUGAGAUGGAACUUGCCCUGCCUUUUUGACAAUUGGUGUGGCUUACCUCAGAGCCAUUUGUCAUGUACGCUAUUUUUAUUUAUUAAACAAUAUUCACAAACCACUUAAUCAAAAAGACCGAAACAAUCUGUAAUAUGCAUCCUGAUAAAAGAAAAAAAUGGAAAACAAGUAGACAUAAUGGAAUGUAUCGAUAUAGAGAUGAAGUCAACAGUUUUAGGAAAAAAUGCACCCAAUAAAAUUACAUGUAUUGUUAAUUAUUUCUUGUAGAUUUUAACAACUCCCAUUGAUAAUAAAAUGGUUGGUUUAUUUUAUGUUUUGAAAUACCGUGGAGAUAAUAUCUGGUGGGAUUUAUAACCAUGUUUACAUUGUUCCAUGCUCAGUAGAAACAUCAUAAAAAGGAUAUUGUGGCAAAUUGGUGUCAUUUGGAAGAGCUCAACAUCCAUCGUGCUUCCUUGUAAGUCUAUUGUGGUUUGAGGUUCUGCAGCUUUGGUUUGAAUUCAUUCAUUCAGCCCUUCAGAUGCUCUUGUUUUUGCCACUUUAAAGGGAAAUAAGAAAAAUUUCAAAGCCCCUGACUCUUUUUUAUCUUGGGAACAAGAUUCAUACUCAAUGGGAGAUUUACUACUUUUCAUGCAGAAGGCCCCAGAUCCAAUAUUUUUCCAAAAGGGUAUGAGGUAGCUUAGCAGGACUGGUGAAGACAUCAACCUGAGUCCCUGGAGAGGUGCUACAAUUUGGAAUAGACACCAAAUGUAUGACUCUUUAAAAGGCAGCUUAAGACAGGCAUGCUCCUCAAUAAAAUAUUCUAGUGGUGUUCAGAGUUAUGCCUUGUGAAGCUGUUAAUUUUUCAAUUGACAGGAAGAUUGUGAAGCCUCAAACUCUUCAGCUCACUUGCCUCUGUGCUCCUUCCUCAGUUUGUGGGCUGUAGCCAGACAUUCAUUCACAGUGGAAUUACAUCAAUUAAAAGAAUACAGAAUUUUAAUCUAUGGUGAUGAACUAUGCCAAGAUGUUGUUUGAUUGCUAAAAUUUUAGUUCGAUGGAAAAUGCAGUUUUGUAAACAGGCUCUAAUGCCUCACUAACUUGGGGGCAGACAUUCCCAGGAUUCCUUGAAAGGGAGAUAUCAGACAUUCAACUCUGCAGUGUAGACUUAUUGGUCAAGUCAAUGUAAUAAUACGUCUAUAGGGUGGCACAAUUAUGUUCUUGGUUGCACAACUGUUGUGCUAGGUUAUGUCUACUGAGGCUGGUUCUACCAUUGGGCAAAUGGAGGCGACCUUUUCUCAGGCAGCUGUAUGGAGUGAUGUUUGUUGUUGUUGUUGUUUAGUCGUUUAGUCGUGUCCGACUCUUCGUGACCCCACGGACCAGAGCACGCCAGGCACUCCUGUCUUCCACUGCCUCCCGCAGUUUGGUCAAACCCAUGCUGGUAGCUUCGAGAACACUAUCCAACCAUCUCGUCCUCUCUCGUCCCCUUCUCCUUGUGCCCUCAAUCUUCCCCAACAUCAGGGUCUUUUCCAGGGAGUCUUCUCUUCUCAUGAGGUUGCCAAAGUACUGGAGCCUCAGCUUCACGAUCUGUCCUUCCAGUGAGCACUCAGGGCUGAUUUCCUUCAGAAUGGAUAGGUUUGAUCUUCUUGCAGUCCAUGGGACUCUCAAGAGUCUCCUCCAGCGCCAUAAUUCAAAAGCAUCAAUUCUUCGGCAAUCAGCCUUCUUUAUGGUCCAGCUCUCACUUCCAUACAUCGCUACUGGGAAAGCCAUAGCUUUUACUAUACGGACCUUUGUUGGCAAGGUGAUGUCUCUGCUUUUUAAGAUGCUGUCUAGGUUUGUCAUUGUUUUUCUCCCAAGAAGCAGGUGUCUUUUAAUUUCGUGGCUGCUGUCACCAUCUGCAGUGAUCGUGGAGCCCAAGAAAGUAAAAUCUCUCACUGCCUCCAUUUCUUCCCCUUCUAUUUGCCAGGAGGUGAUGGGACCAGUGGCCAUGAUCUUCGUUUUUUUGAUGUUGAGCUUCAGACCAUAUUUUGCACUUUCCUCUUUCACCCUCAUUAAAAGGUUCUUUAAUGUCUCCUCACUUUCUGCCACCAAGGUUGUGUCAUCUGCAUAUCUGAGGUUGUUGAUAUUUCUUCCGGCAAUCUUAAUUCUGCCUAGGGAUUCAUCCAGCCCAGCCUUUCGCAUUAUGAAUUCUGCAUAUAAGUUAAAUAAGCAGGAGACAAUAUGCAGCCUUGUCGUCCUCCUUUCCCAAUUUUGAACCAACCAGUUGCUCCAUAUCCAGUUCUAACUGUAGCUUCUUGUCCCACACAGAGAUUUCUCAGGAGACAGAUGAGGUGAUCAGCCACUCCCAUUUCUUAAAGAACUUGCCAUAGUUUGCUGUGGUCGACACAGUCAAAGGCUUUUGCAUAGUCAAUGAAGCGGAAGUAGAUGUCUUUCUGGAACUCUCUAGCUUUCUACAUAAUCCAGUGCAUGUUUGCAAUUUGGUCUCUGGUUCCUCUGCCUCUUCUAAAUCCAGCUUGCACUUCUGGGAGUUCUCGGUCCACAUACUGCUUGAGCCUUCCUUGUAGAAUUUUAAGCAUAACCUUGCUAGCGUGUGAAAUGAGUGCAAUUGUGCGGUAGUUGGAGCAUUCUUUGGCACUGACCUUCUUUGGGAUUGGGAUGUAGACUGAUCUUCUCCAAUCCUCUGGCCACUGCUGAGUUUUCCAAAUUUGCUGGCAUAUUGAGUGUAGCACCUUAACGGCAUCAUCUUUUAAAAUUUUAAAUAGUUCAGCUGAAAUACUAUCACUUCCACUGGCCUUGUUAUUAGCAGUGCUUUCUAAGGCCCAUUUGACUUCAUUCUCCUGGAUGUCUGACUCAAGGUCAGCAACCACACUACCUGGGGUGUACGAGCCAUCCAUAUCUUUCUGGCAUAAUUCUUCCGUGUAUUCUUGCCACCUCUUCUUGAUGUCUUCUGCUUCUGUUAGGUCCUUACCACUUUUGUCCUUUAUUGUGGUAAUCUUUGUACGAAAUGUUCCUUUCAUAUCUCCAAUUUUCUUGAACAGAUCUCUGGUUCUUCCCAUUCUGCUGUUUUCCUCUAUUUCUUUGCAUUGCUUGUUUAAGAAGGCCUUCUUGUCUCUCCUUGCUAUUUUUGGAAAUCUGCAUUCAAUUUCCUGUAUCUUUCACUGUCUCCCUCGCAUUUUGCUUGCCUUCUCUCCCCGCUAUUUGUAAGGCCUCGUUAGACAGCCACUUUGCUUUCUUGCAUUUCCUUUUCAUUGGGAUGGUUUUAGCUGCUGCCUCCUGUAUAAUGUUAUGAGCCUCCAUCCAUAGUUCUUCAGGCACUCUGCCCACCAAAUCUAAAUCCUUAAACCUGUUUAAGUGAUGUUUAAGGCACAUCAAAGGGUUUUUAUUGCUAUUGCAUUUUUACGGUCACAUUAUGCAUUUUGUGUUUUUAUGUUGUAAAGUGGCCUGUGAUAGUCAGCUGAAGGGCGGUACAUAAAUUUAAUAAAGAACAAAAAAUAAAUAAUUAUUUUAUGAAGAAGCCUCUCCCCAAGUAUUUUUGUAUAAAACAUCAGCUGAUGAGCACUGUUGAAAUCUGUAAUGCCUUUAAAGUUUAUUUUCAGAUGCAGCAUCAAUGGGAAGAGAAAAUCAAACAGUGGUGACAGAAUUUAUCCUUGCUGGAUUUUCUAAUUUCCCAGACCUGAAGAUUCCGUUGUUUCUGGUGUUCUCUCUAAUCUACCUGGUAACUUUGAUAGCAAAUAUAAUCAUCAUCACUACAAUACGGCUUAACCGCAGCCUCCACAUCCCCAUGUACUUCUUCCUCUCCAUCCUCUCCUUUUCAGAAAUCUGCUACUCACUUGUCAUUAUCCCCAAUAUGCUUGCAAAUCUUCUAAGAGAAAAGAAGACCAUUUCCUUCAUUGGCUGUGCUACUCAGAUGUGCAUUUUCCUGGGCUUGGCAGGCACAAAUUGUAUGCUUCUAGCAGUGAUGGGGUAUGACCGAUAUGUCUCCAUAUGCAAACCUUUACGUUAUCAGAUUUUGAUGAAUCAAAGAC
rnacentral:lncRNA from 1 species